rnacentral:rRNA from 2 species
AGACCCGAAACCCGGUGAUCUAGCCAUGGGCAGGUUGAAGGUUGGGUAACACUAACUGGAGGACCGAACCGACUAAUGUUGAAAAAUUAGCGGAUGACUUGUGGCUGGGGGUGAAAGGCCAAUCAAACCGGGAGAUAGCUGGUUCUCCCCGAAAGCUAUUUAGGUAGCGCCUCGUGAAUUCAUCUCCGGGGGUAGAGCACUGUUUCGGCAAGGGGGUCAUCCCGACUUACCAACCCGAUGCAAACUGCGAAUACCGGAGAAUGUUAUCACGGGAGACACACGGCGGGUGCUAACGUCCGUCGUGAAGAGGGAAACAACCCAGACCGCCAGCUAAGGUCCCAAAGUCAUGGUUAAGUGGGAAACGAUGUGGGAAGGCCCAGACAGCCAGGAUGUUGGCUUAGAAGCAGCCAUCAUUUAAAGAAAGCGUAAUAGCUCACUGGUCGAGUCGGCCUGCGCGGAAGAUGUAACGGGGCUAAACCAUGCACCGAAGCU